rnacentral:rRNA from 2 species
GAACGUACCAUUUGCUACGGAAUAACUCAGGGAAACUUGUGCUAAUACCGUAUGUGCCCUUCAGGGGAAAGAUUUAUCGGCAAAUGAUCGGCCCGCGUUGGAUUAGCUAGUUGGUGGGGUAAAGGCCUACCAAGGCGACGAUCCAUAGCUGGUCUGAGAGGAUGAUCAGCCACACUGGGACUGAGACACGGCCCAGACUCCUACGGGAGGCAGCAGUGGGGAAUAUUGGACAAUGGGCGCAAGCCUGAUCCAGCCAUGCCGCGUGAGUGAUGAAGGCCCUAGGGUUGUAAAGCUCUUUCACCGGUGAAGAUAAUGACGGUAACCGGAGAAGAAGCCCCGGCUAACUUCGUGCCAGCAGCCGCGGUAAUACGAAGGGGGCUAGCGUUGUUCGGAUUUACUGGGCGUAAAGCGCACGUAGGCGGGCUAAUAAGUCAGGGGUGAAAUCCCGGGGCUCAACCCCGGAACUGCUUUGAUACUGUUAGUCUUGGAGUAUGGUAGAGGUGAGUGGAAUUCGAGUGUAGAGGUGAAAUUCGUAGAUUUUCGGAGGAACACCAGUGGCGAAGGCGGCUCACUUGGACCAUUACUGACCCUAAGGUGCGAAGCGUGGGGAGCAAAC